CAGCGCAGCAGAGCCGCUUCAAGAGGGGGCAGAGGGUAAAAAUUACUAACUUCCCCCCCUUCAGCCCACUGCCACUGACUUUAAUCAUUGCAGCCACUGCUGCAAUCUGCAAUGCACAGGAAAUUCCGAGGUUCGAAAAGGGGGCGGGGCUAAACGGCACUGUACACACAGUGCCACCAUGCCAGCCAGCAACAGCAUGAGAGGGUGGAGAGGAGAGGAGCAGUACAGCCUAAACAUAUAUAAAACAGUGACGUUUCUCUACCCUGAUCUAAUAAACGUGUUGUCACCGCCCAUUUGCCUUUCCUUUAUCCGUGGGAUCCUCCUUGGGGUGAUUAUUCUUCUGCCACAGGCUCCUGAAGAAGAAGUCGGGAGAGGUCUCAAAGCCGCAAGCGUCGAUUGAAGAAAGCAGUUGCUGCUGCCUUUGUCACCCCAUCAGGCUCCUCUUCAUGCUAGACUCCAGGCAGACUCUUCUGCAGGACAUUAUUACUCUGGUCACUCUCUCGUGGCAGGAAUUAUAGUUGGACAACAUGCCAGUAACUAUCAACAAAACGAUGAGCAAGAUAAUCGCCAACAUGAAAAAAGAAAAUAAAACCAUCAAAGAGAUCCAUGCAUGGCUCAAGGAAAGUGGCAUUAUAGUCACUUUAGAAACGGUGCGCUAUCAUGCAUUCGAGAGAACAACGCCCAGAUUUGUA